rnacentral:tRNA from 1 species
GGGGAUUUAGCUCAGUGGUAGAGCGCUUGCCUAGCAAGUGCAAGUUCGGUCCCCA